GUACAGAAAAUGUUCCAGAAGAUCAAACAACAUGGUAAAGACUGAAGGGAGGGGAGGCCUGACAGCCAGAGAAACCAGCAGAAUCGGGUGUCUAGGAAAUUCUCAGUAACUGUCUAAUUGAACUGAACCAACCUCAUCACAGCCUUUGGCAGCAGGGACCAGUAUGGUUAUAAUAUAUUGAAAGGAGGAAUAAUGUGGUGCUUAAAGAAUGUGAACUUUAGAACCAGACCAACCAGGUCCAAAUCCCAGCUGUGCAACCUUAGGCAAGUUACUUAACUUCUCUAUACCUCAGUUUACUCAUCUAAACAAUGGAGCUAACAAUAGUACCUAC